UACGAAGGGGGCUAGCGUUGCUCGGAAUUACUGGGCGUAAAGCGCACGUAGGCGGCUCUUCAAGUCGGAGGUGAAAUCCUGGAGCUCAACUCCAGAACUGCCUUCGAUACUGUAGAGCUUGAGUUCGGGAGAGGUGAGUGGAACUGCGAGUGUAGAGGUGAAAUUCGUAGAUAUUCGCAAGAACACCAGUGGCGAAGGCGGCUCACUGGACCGGAACUGACGCUGAGGCGCGAAAGCGUGGGGAGCAAACGGG
rnacentral:rRNA from 1 species